GCCCUGUCCAUGUAUUUUGCCUGUAGAAUCAAAUAACACAAAUGUAGGGGAAAUCCAGAGUUAAUCCAAGCAUGACACAGACCUCUUGAAUCUCAUUUAUGCAUAUCAUCAGAAAGGGUUAAUCCUACAAGAGAACUUUGAAGGGAAAUCUGCAGAAUUCAAGAAUCCAAAACUAAAAGAAAAACACAAAAGAUCUGAGAUACACGCAAUUAAUUUUCAGUAACAAAAUAUCUUUUAAUUAUCAAAC
rnacentral:misc_RNA from 1 species